rnacentral:rRNA from 1 species
GACGAACGCUGUCGGCGUGCUUAACCCAUGCAAGUCGAACGGAAAGGCCCUGCUUUUGUGGGGUGCUCGAGUGGCGAACGGGUGAGUAACACGUGAGUAACCUGCCCUUGACUUUGGGAUAACUUCAGGAAACUGGGGCUAAUACCGGAUAGGAGCUCCUGCUGCAUGGUGGGGGUUGGAAAGUUUCGGCGGUUGGGGAUGGACUCGCGGCUUAUCAGCUUGUUGGUGGGGUAGUGGCUUACCAAGGCUUUGACGGGUAGCCGGCCUGAGCGGGUGACCGGCCACAUUGGGACUGAGAUACGGCCCAGACUCCUACGGGAGGCAGCAGUGGGGAAUAGUGCACAAUGGGCGGAAGCCUGAUGCAGCAACGCCGCGUGCGGGAUGACGGCCUUCGGGUUGUAGACCGCUUUCGCCUGUGGCGAAGCGUGAGUGACGGUAAUGGGUAAAGAAGCACCGGCUAACUACGUG